GGGCAAUUGCCGGUGCUUACCAUGCAAGUCGAACGAUGAAGCCCAGCUUGCUGGGUGGAUUAGUGGCGAACGGGUGAGUAACACGUGGGUGAUCUGCCCUGCACUCUGGGAUAAGCCUGGGAAACUGGGUCUAAUACCGGAUAUGACCUCUUGCUGCAUGUUCUGGGGUGGAAAGUUUUUCGGUGCAGGAUGAGCCCGCGGCCUAUCAGCUUGUUGGUGGGGUAAUGGCCUACCAAGGCGACGACGGGUAGCCGGCCUGAGAGGGCGACCGGCCACACUGGGACUGAGACACGGCCCAGACUCCUACGGGAGGCAGCAGUGGGGAAUAUUGCACAAUGGGCGCAAGCCUGAUGCAGCGACGCCGCGUGAGGGAUGACGGCCUUCGGGUUGUAAACCUCUUUCACCCAUGACGAAGCGCAAGUGACGGUAGUGGGAGAAGAAGCACCGGCCAACUACGUGCCAGCAGCCGCGGUAAUACGUAGGGUGCGAGCGUUGUCCGGAAUUACUGGGCGUAAAGAGCUCGUAGGCGGUUUGUCGCGUCGUCUGUGAAAUCCCGCAGCUCAACUGCGGGCUUGCAGGCGAUACGGGCAGACUCGAGUACUGCAGGGGAGACUGGAAUUCCUGGUGUAGCGGUGAAAUGCGCAGAUAUCAGGAGGAACACCGGUGGCGAAGGCGGGUCUCUGGGCAGUAACUGACGCUGAGGAGCGAAAGCGUGGGUAGCGAACAGGAUUAGAUACCCUGGUAGUCCACGCCGUAAACGGUGGGCGCUAGGUGUGGGUUUCCUUCCACGGGAUCCGUGCCGUAGCCAACGCAUUAAGCGCCCCGCCUGGGGAGUACGGCCGCAAGGCUAAAACUCAAGAGAUUUGACGGUA
rnacentral:rRNA from 1 species